AGCACCCUCCCCCCACCCCUUCCUCCGCCAUCCGGCCCUCAGUGGCGAGCCCCCUCCGCCGCCGCCCUUCGGCGACCAAACCGACGCCGCUUCGGAUCCAAGCAAACCAAGCUUGAAAGAGGGUCUUGGGGAGAGUACGCUUACCGCAAGUGACCAUACUCCCCUCCUUUUUUUUAAUUUUUUUUGUUUCCUCCCUCCUACCAUUCUUCAAGAAUGUUCUCGCGUACAAAUAACAACUUGCUCGUUUCCCGCAUUUUACCCAUAAAAGAAACGAAGAAGAAUAGAGAAUUAGAAAGACUUCCUCAUUUGUGUUUUCCUUUCUCCCUUAUUCUUCGUCCUUCAACCAAUUAUCUGGCAAUCGGAGGAUUUGUUCCUUGUUCUCGGAUAAUUUCUUGAUUCAAUCAAUCCGACCCUGGCCUUGGCUUAUUUUGUUCUUUCACAAAGUUAAUCAAUAUCCUUAUCAAGGUGUCUGUCUCAAAAUGUGUUAAUACGAGCCCAAGUUCAGUACAAUAGCCCUCAGUGUCAGCUCUACCUGAUGAUAUAAUGUCUAGAAAGCAACAUAUUGCAAUAUUCACAACUGCCAGUCUUCCAUGGAUGACUGGAACUGCUGUGAACCCUUUAUUUCGUGCCGCUUAUCUUGCAAAGAAUGGUGACUGGGAAGUUACUUUGGUGAUUCCUUGGCUCUCCUUGAAGGAUCAAGAAUUAGUUUAUCCAAACAAAAUUACGUUCAAUUCACCAUCCGAACAUGAGGGCUAUGUUCGUCAGUGGCUUGAGGAGAGGACUGAUUUUAUAUCGAGUUUCAGAAUAAAGUUCUAUCCUGGAAAGUUCUCCUUAGAAAUGAGGAGCAUUCUACCUGUUGGUGAUAUCACAGAGAGUAUUCCUGAUGAAGAGGCAGAUAUUGCUGUUCUUGAGGAGCCUGAGCAUCUUACUUGGUACCAUCAUGGAAAGAAGUGGAAAACCAAAUUUUGGCGAGUAAUUGGUGUUGUCCACACGAAUUAUUUGGAGUAUGUGAGGAGAGAGAAAAAUGGAGAACUGAUAGCUUUUUUUGUGAAAUAUGCCAGUAGCUGGGUUACACGUAUCUACUGCCACAAGGUUAUCAGAUUAUCAGGUGCUACCCAAAAUUUCCCAAGAUCCAUCAUCUGCAAUGUUCAUGGUGUCAACCCAAGAUUUCUUGAUGUUGGCAAGGUAAAGCUUGGACAGCUACAGAGGGAGGAGCCAGCCUUUACCAAGGGUGCCUACUAUAUUGGUAAGAUGGUGUGGAGUAAGGGCUAUAGAGAGCUUCUUCAACUACUCUCAAAACACCAAGACAAAUUAUCUGGACUCAAAGUAGAUUUGUAUGGAAAUGGAGAAGACUCUGAACAAGUUCAACAAGCUGCAAAAAAAUUGAGUUUGCCUGUAGGAGUUUACCCUGGUCGUGAUCAUGCUGAUCCUUUAUUUCACGACUAUAAGGUGUUUCUGAAUCCAAGCACCACUGAUGUGGUUUGUACAACCACAGCAGAAGCACUGGCAAUGGGAAAAAUUGUCAUCUGUGCCAACCACCCUUCAAAUGAGUUUUUCAAGCAGUUUCCCAAUUGCCACAUAUAUAAUAGUGGCGACGAAUUUGUGAAAUUAACCGUGAAAGCUCUGACUGAAGAUCCUGCUCCACUGACAGAUGAUUUGAGGCAUAAGCUGUCAUGGGAAGCAGCCACAGAAAGAUUUGUAGCAGCUGCUGAGCUAAACCAGGUUGUUUCUGAGGAGAUUCCCCCUUCCUCAUCCAAGCCUUUUGCAUCAACCUCCUUAAAAUCACGUAAACCGAGGAGUGUGGAGGAAGUCUCCGCAUCCUUGCAUCAAACUAUUUCUGGAAUCGAGGCAGCACGUCGUGCAUUUGGUGCAAUCCCAAAGACUCUGCAACCUGAUGAACAACAGUGUAAGGAGCUUGAGUGGGUUAUUCCAGAACGGAAGAGGGGCUCCGGAGGUUGAUGCUGUGGAUUGAAAUAUGACAUUUGAGGUUUUGGUUUUUAUUGCCUGAGCAGUGAAAUGAUGCUGAAAGAGAAGAAUUAGCUUUCUGGGGAAUAAUUUAGGCUUCUUCUGGAUGAUAUGUAAUUCAUAUUCCCAAUUCAAAUCUAGCAUCUCAUUUAAGAGAGAGAGAGAGAGAGGAGGGAGCUAAUUGUAUUCUUCUGAUGUGAGUUGUAACAUAUCUGUGAUACCGAGAGAGAGAGAGAGAGAGAGAGCUAAUUGUAUUCUUCUGAUGUGAGUUGUAACAUAUCUGUGAUACUGAGAAUUCUAGCAUCAUACCAACAAGAUGCAUUUCACAACAGGGAAAUUUUUACUUCAUAUAUUA